AGCAUUUUACAUGGACAAUUUGACUUUCAUGUGGAGUGUCAUAAUGUACCCUAGAUGGAAAUCUAAAAUAAAUUAUAUGGCAUGCAGCCUUCCUGGUGCAGGAAUUUAUCGUUCCCAUACUACAAUAAUUUUGAAAACUGUAUCCCUUAAGCUACAAAGAUGUAAGAUAUUAUUAACUGCCUGAACUUUAAAAACAUUCUGAUUGGCUGAUAUAAAAUGUAGGGGCUGGGAUUAAUUUCUAUGGAACCACAAGCUUAUCGCAAACUGUUUUUCAACCCUCUAAACUGCGAACUUUAUCUUCUUGCAGGACACAAAGUCCGUUUUACACCAUCAUCCCCGAUGUAUGCUGGCAUUUUGGUAAAGCCGUUCCAGGACGUGUGAAUGUGUCCGGCCCUCUCCUGACAGGCUUGUCUGAGACAAUUGUGCCCCAGAGAGUGAAGGCAGUGUGCACAGUAGUGCCUUGUCUGCCUUUUAUAUGAUUUCCAUCUCCCAACAACUCUCCUGACUCUAGAAAUGCAUCAUUUUAGCCUGGCACAGAUUGAAGAAUGUCUGUUUCAUUGCUUGCUCUUUUCCACUGGUGAAGUUUUUUUUUAAAAAAAAUCAAAUUAUUCGCAGAGACAAGCAGCUCAUAGAUUAUGGUGCUGGGCGCACAAGCCUCUGCUAGCACUCAUGCACUUGCUGCUGGCCCUUCUCCUUGCUGCAGCACAGCUACCUAUGUAAGAAUAGUGAUGCCGUGCAGGAGAUAAUAGGGCAGAAGGGGAAAAGGUUCCUUCCCCUGCCCCACUGUCUGCAGCCAGACACAACAUGUUCAGUUUUUUUAAAAUGCCAUGGCAGAAGAACAUUUGUGCUGUUAAAAAAUUCAAGUCAAACAACAAUUGUAUUAUGUUAGAUGAUUUAGAAAGAUGAUUUGUCUGAUAACAAUGAGAAAAGUAAAUUAAGUAGUCUGGGCUUUCUAGAACCCAGGCCCUUAUCAAGCAUACCCAUUUCUCCUCUCCUUACCAAAGGCACUUUCCAUAGACUCCACUACUACUUCCUUCAGAGCCCUUGGUGAAGAUUCUGUAGGGAGUAUAUAUUCUUUGGCUUAACGUUUUUAUGCGACAGUGCUGUCAAAUUCCCAGUUUUGAGGAUUUUCUCCCACUCUGUAUAGGCUUCUAAAAGUCAUGGAAUGUGACUCUAGGCAGCCAAGUAGGCUUCCAGCGGCAUCUGGUGGGCCACUGUGUGAAACAGGAUCCUGGACUAGAUGGGCCUCCUUGGGCCUGAUCCAGCAGGGCUGUCUUUAUGUUCUUAAGUAUGUGUGCACAGACAAGGAAAAUGCAUAGGUGUGUGUUGUAUCGGAGCCCACAAUGCAUGCAAAUUACACUCACAAAUCUUUUAAAGAAACCCAAACCCUGCCCCACUGUUUGUGUAGCUUUUUAAGAUGAAACACACCCCAGGGUUUGGCAGAACAAAAAUGAGAUCUGGAGGAAAGGGAAAGGAGAGAGUUUUCUGGCAAGUUGGCUAGACUUUUCAGGAAUAGGGCAGGACUUUAGCUACCACAAGGCAUGCCAAUCCACAAGAUCAAUCUGUUGGCUCAGAGCAGAGACAAAGAGGAAUAGAGAGGGAUCCCUAACUUGCUAUUUCUAUUCCUAAUGUCCCCAGCGAUCAAUAGGAUUGCUAGGAGCGGAGCCAGGCUGGCGGUGGCCCGUGUGCAGCUGACGCCGCGGCCCCCCAGCCCUGCCCCCCGUAUCUGACAUCAGAUGAGCCUUGCUAGCCGUGCCCCCACCUCUGACAUCAGAUGUGGGGGCAUGGUCUCCCUUUCAAACAGUGCUGUGCAGCCCCGUUUGGAAAAGAGAUCAGCCUGCGCUGCUUUGUGCAGCAUGGGCCAGAACGACCCUCCUUGCCUUAAAGGAGCGACUCUCCCUGCCGCACGGCCCCAUUUGGGAGGGAAAUCGAUCAGCCUCACUGCAUUGGCAGUGGGACCAGGAGCGGCUUUCCCUGCCUUUAAUGCAGGGAGAGUCACUCCAGCCGCGCUGCCAACACAGCGCGGGCCAAUUUCGGCUCCAAACAGGGCCGCGCGACCCCAUUUGGGACCGAAAUAACACCCCUGCAUCUGACGUUAGACAUGGGGGCGUGUCUGGGGCCGCACUCAUGGCCCCUGAUUGGGUGCGGCCUGGGUUCUUUGAACCCAUUCGCCCAGUGGUGACUCCGCCCCUGAGGAUUGCUGAUGCAGACAGUCAAUGCCUUCUGGAGCUUGCAUCUUCAACACAAUAUGCCAGUUGGCAUACAUCUCUGCUCUGUUCAUUGCUUGAAUUGUCAUUGGAGAGUUUUUCUUCAUUGAAGCUGUUCUUCAUUGAAGCUCCUCAAUUAAACAGAAAAGGGAGGAGCUAUUACCCAGUAACAAACUUCAAAGCCUGUAAAAAUGAUUAUUUGAAGAGCCUAUCAGAUUCCCCAGCCUCUCCCCUCCCUGAGAUGCUAUAGCAUCUCAGGGAGGCAUGACCAUAGACAGGGUUCUAAUCUAGAUGUUUCCUUCUCCUAGGUGCAGCUCAAAGCCCUAAGCAGUCAGGAAGGAAUUCUUCUGAGUCACCUUCAUGCCUGGCAUUCUCUCAUCAACCCCCACAUUGCUAUCUCCAAUUGCCAGUUCUCCCUUUCCUGGAGUUGCAAUGCUGAGUUUUUUUUAAAACCUGACAACGCUGCUAUUCAAUUGCCGGACACUUGGAAACACAUAAGGGCCAAAACCAUGUCCAAGGCAUAGAAGUGCACAGUGAAUGCUUUGCUUGGACCAUCCCUUUGUCUUCAGGACAUUUGCCCUGAGAUCCAUUACAGUGAUUGAAGUGGAUUGUGAACACAUUGGAAAUGCAUGUUGGUGCAGCUGUCCCCACAGCUAGUGUUCUCCCUUUCCAAUCUAAUCAGGUUGACUUCUGGAUGGGAUGACUGGAGCAUGAGAUGCCACAAGGUCCUAGCUGCCGUGACACAUCACAGACAACUCAUUGUCUGUACUGGCUUCCUAUAAUAUUACUCAAGUAAUUAUAAAAGGAAUAUUACAUGUAGAAAUUCGGAAAUCUUCUUCCACCCUUUACCCACUUUUGCCCAGUUAUCCAAAGUUACAAAGAAAUAUGGGAUAUGUAGAUGUAAUACACCACAGUCUUCAGUACUGGUAAAAACCAAGUCUUGGAUGCGGAUGGUAAGCUUGUGUUAUAUUAAAAUUUAUAAAGGGUUCCCAA